rnacentral:rRNA from 1 species
UACAGAGGGUGCGAGCGUUGUCCGGAAUCACUGGGCGUAAAGGGCGCGUAGGCGGCUCUGCACGUCCGUUGUGAAAUCGCCCGGCUCAACUGGGCGGGGUCAGCGGAUACGGCAGAGCUUGAGCAAGCUAGGGGGCAAUGGAAUUCCCGGUGUAGUGGUGGAAUGCGUAGAUAUCGGGAGGAACACCAGUGGCGAAAGCGACUCUCUGGGGGCGAUCUGACGCUGAGGCGCGAAAGCGUGGGGAGCAAACCGG